AUUGAACGCUGGCGGCAGGCCUAACACAUGCAAGUCGAGCGAGCGGCGGACGGGGGUGUAAUGUAUGGGGACUGCCCGAUAGAGGGGGAUAACAACAGUAAACGGUGGCUCUUACAGCAUACUGUAUGAGAACCCACAUGGGAUUAGCUCGUAGGUAAGGUAAUGGCGUACCUAGGCGACGAUCCCUAGCUGGUCUGAGAGGAUGAUCAGCCACCCUGUGACUGAGACACGGUCCAGACUCCUACGGAGGCAGCAGUGGGGAAUAUGGCACAAUGGGCGCAAGCCUGAUGCAGCCAUGCCGCGUGUAUGAAGAAGGCCCUAGGGUUGUAAAGUACUUUCAGUCGGGAGGCGUUACCGACAGAAGAAGCACCGGCUAACUCCGUGCCAGCAGCCGCGGUAAUUC
rnacentral:rRNA from 1 species